UACGGGAGGCAGCAGUAGGGAAUCUUCCGCAAUGGACGAAAGUCUGACGGAGCAACGCCGCGUGAGUGAUGAAGGCUUUCGGGUCGUAAAACUCUGUUGUUAGGGAAGAACAAGUGCUAGUUGCAAUAAGCCGGCACCGUGCGGCUA
rnacentral:rRNA from 1 species